rnacentral:tRNA from 1 species
GCGAGGGUGGCGGAAUUGGCAGACGCGCCAGGUUUAGGACCUGGUCCCGAAAGGGGUGUGGGUUCGAGUCCCGCCCCUCGCA